CUACGGGGUGCUGCAGUGGGGAAUAUUGCACAAUGGAGGAAACUCUGAUGCAGCCAUGCCGCGUGUGUGAAGAAGGCCCGAGGGUUGUAAAGCACUUUCAAUUGGGAGGAAGGUUAGUAAGCUAAUACCUUGCUAGCUUGACGUUACCUUUAGAAGAAGCACCGGCUAACUCUGUGCCAGCAGCCGCGGUAAUACAGAGGGUGCAAGCGUUAUUCGGAAUUACUGGGCGUAAAGCGCGCGUAGGCGGACUGUUAAGUCGGUUGUGAAAGCCCUGGGCUCAACCUAGGAAUUGCAUCCGAUACUGGCAAUCUAGAGUCUAAGAGAGGGAAGGGGAAUUCCAGGUGUAGCAGUGAAAUGCGUAGAUAUCUGGAGGAACAUCAGUGGCGAAGGCGCCUUCCUGGCUUAAGACUGACGCUGAGGUGCGAAAGCGUGGGUAGCGAACGGGAUUAGAUACCCGUGUAGUC
rnacentral:rRNA from 1 species